AGAGUUUGAUCCUGGCUCAGGAUGAACGCUAGCGAUAGGCCUAACACAUGCAAGUCGAGGGGCAGCAUAGAGUAGCAAUACUUUGAUGGCGACCGGCGCACGGGUGAGUAACACGUAUGCAACCUACCUACAUCAGGGGAAUAACCCGGAGAAAUUCGGACUAAUACCGCAUAAUACAGGGAUGCCGCAUGGUAAUAUUUGUUAAAGAUUUAUCGGAUGUAGAUGGGCAUGCGUUCCAUUAGCUAGUUGGUAAGGUAACGGCUUACCAAGGCAACGAUGGAUAGGGGAACUGAGAGGUUUGUCCCCCACACUGGAACUGAGACACGGACCAGACUCCUACGGGAGGCAGCAGUGAGGAAUAUUGGUCAAUGGACGAGAGUCUGAACCAGCCAAAUCGCGUGAAGGAAGACUGCCCUACGGGUUGUAAACUUCUUUUGUACAGGAAUAAAAGACAUUACGUGUAAUGUAUUGCAUGUACUGUACGAAUAAGCAUCGGCUAACUCCGUGCCAGCAGCCGCGGUAAUACGGAGGAUGCGAGCGUUAUCCGGAUUUAUUGGGUUUAAAGGGUGCGCAGGCGGGAUUUUAAGUCAGCGGUGAAAUUUUCAGGCUCAACCUGAACACUGCCGUUGAAACUGGGAUUCUUGAGUAUGGAUGAAGUAGGCGGAGUUCGUUGUGUAGCGGUGACAUGCUUAGAUAUAACGAGGAACUCCGAUUGCGUAGGCAGCUUACUAAGCCAUAACUGACGCUCAAGCACGAAAGCGUGGGGAUCAAACAGGAUUAGAUACCCUGGUAGUCG
rnacentral:rRNA from 1 species